ensembl:lncRNA
GACACUUUCUUUGCUCAGUGUGGGGAAAAGAUUGCAAAAGAUGCUAUACUUAGGAAAUUCAUUCCUGGGAAGCAUGCUCUGGAAAGAAGGCAAGAAUGUGACUGGCUGGACAACUUUUUGCUGAAGAGAUGAGGCGUAUGACUCGGAUCCAGUCCACCAUCUCAGUAGGAGUCAGGAAUGGAGAGUCUACAGUUGGAGAAGAAUUUUGCCCCAAGAUAGCUCCUACCAAGAGUCUCACACGUCCCUGAUUUAGAUGAUAAGAUUUGGAACUUUUGAGGAGACACGCAGAGGACAGAGAGAGAAGAGGCAGGCAAUGUGACCAUGGUAGCGGAGACUGAAGAGAUGUGGCCACCAGUCAAGGAAUGCCUGAAGCCAUCAGAAGCUGGAAGAGAGAGAGGAAUGGAUAGGCCCCUAGAAGGAUUGGAGGGAGCGUGUCCCUAAUGAUACUUUGAUUUUGGACUUCUGGUCUUGAGAAUUGUGAGAGAAUAAAUUUCUGUUGUUUUAAGCCUCUGAAUUUGUGGCUGUUUGUUACAGCAGCUACAGGAAAGUAGUACAGAUUUUGGUACAUUUUGAUAAGUCAAAGCAACCAGUUACAAAAGACCAUAUAUUGUAUGAUUUCAUUUAUACGAAAUGUCCAGAACAGGCAAAUCUAUGGAGAUGGAAAAUAGAUUAGUGGUUGCAGGGGCUAGAGGUAGAAGGAAUGAGAGUGACUGCUAAUCCAUAUGGGGUUUCCUUCUGGGUGAUAAAAAUGUUCUGCAGUUAGAUAGUGGUGAUGGUUGCACAGUUCUGUGAAUAUACUAAAAACUACUGAAUUUUAUGCUUUAAACCUGUUAAUUUUAUGAUAUGUGAAAUGUAUUUCAAUAAAGCUAUUGUAAAAAAUUUAACAUUAUAAGGUUUUCUUAACAUUAAUUUUAUAUUAUAUCUCUCUUCUCUUCUGGAAAAUUAAAAAAAAAUAAAAUCAAUGUAUUUGUUUGCUUAAUCCUAGUAGAUACCUAAAAGGACUUCAAAAUUACAACAUCUAUCUUACCAUGUCAUUACAACAAUAAAAACACUAAGUGAAUUUUAAGGAUCUUUUUUGUAAUUCUUUUAGUCUUUAGACUAUAUUCCACAAAAAAAUAC